GACGAACGCUGGCGGCGUGCCUAAUACAUGCAAGUCGAACGCUUCCUUCCUCCCGAGUGCUUGCACUCAAUUGGAAAGAGGAGUGGCGGACGGGUGAGUAACACGUUGGUAACCUACCCAGCAGGGGGGGAUAACACUUGGAAACAGGUGCUAAUACCGCAUAACAGUUUAUGCCGCAUGGCAUAAGAGUUAAAGGCGCUUUCGGUUGUCGCUGAUGGAUGGAGCCGCGGUGCAUUAGCUAGUUGGUGAGGUAACGGCUCACCAAGGCCACGAUGCAUAGCCGACCUGAGAGGGUGAUCGGCCACACUGGGACUGAGACACGGCCCAGACUCCUACGGGAGGCAGCAGUAGGGAAUCUUCGGCAAUGGACGAAAGUCUGACCGAGCAACGCCGCGUGAGUGAAGAAGGUUUUCGGAUCGUAAAACUCUGUUGUUAGAGAAGAACAAGGACGUUAGUAACUGAACGUCCCCUGACGGUAUCUAACCAGAAAGCCACGGCUAACUACGUG
rnacentral:rRNA from 1 species